rnacentral:rRNA from 1 species
GACGAACGCUGGCGGCGUGCUUACCUUUUGCAAGUCAAACGGAAAGGCCCUGCUUUUGUGGGGGGCUCGAGGGGCGAACGGGUGAGUAACACGUGAGUAACCUGCCCUUGACUUUGGAAUAACUUCAGGAAACUGGGGCUAAUACCGGAUAGGAGCUCCUGCUGCAUGGGGGGGGUUGGAAAGUUUCGGCGGUUGGGGAUGGACUCGCGGCUUAUCAGCUUGUUGGUGGGGUAGGGGCUUACCAAGGCUUUGACGGGUAGCCGGCCUGAGAGGGUGACCGGCCACAUUGGGACUGAAAUACGGCCCAAACUCCUACGGGAGGCAGCAGUGGGGAAUAUUGCACAAUGGGCGGAAGCCUGAUGCACCACCGCCGCGUGCGGAAUGACGGCCUUCGGGUUGUAAACCGCUUUCGCCUGUGACGAAGCGUGAGUGACGGUAAUGGGUAAAGAAGCACCGGCUAACUACGUG